UGGGGAAUUUUGGACAAUGGGCGCAAGCCUGAUCCAGCCAUGCCGCGUGCGGGAAGAAGGCCUUCGGGUUGUAAACCGCUUUUGUCAGGGAAGAAAUCUUCUGAGUUAAUACCUCGGGAGGAUGACGGUACCUGAAGAAUAAGCACCGGCUAACUACGUGCCAGCAGCCGCGGUAAUACGUAGGGUGCAAGCGUUAAUCGGAAUUACUGGGCGUAAAGCGUGCGCAGGCGGUUUUGUAAGACAGAAGUGAAAUCCCCGGGCUCAACCUGGGAACUGCCUUUGUGACUGCAAGGCUUGAGUGCGGCAGAGGGGGGAUGGAAUUCCGCGUGUAGCAGUGAAAUGCGUAGAUAUGCGGAGGAACACCGAUGGCGAAGGCAAUCCCCUGGGCCUGCACUGACGCUCAUGCACGAAAAGCGUGGGGAGCAAAACAGGAUUAGAUACCCUGGUAGUCCACGCCCUAAAACGAUGUCAAC
rnacentral:rRNA from 1 species